GGAGCUUGCUCCCGGAUGUUAGCGGCGGACGGGUGAGUAACACGUGGGUAACCUGCCUGUAAGACUGGGAUAACUCCGGGAAACCGGAGCUAAUACCGGAUAGUUCCUUGAACCGCAUGGUUCAAGGAUGAAAGACGGUUUCGGCUGUCACUUACAGAUGGACCCGCGGCGCAUUAGCUAGUUGGUGAGGUAACGGCUCACCAAGGCGACGAUGCGUAGCCGACCUGAGAGGGUGAUCGGCCACACUGGGACUGAGACACGGCCCAGACUCCUACGGGAGGCAGCAGUAGGGAAUCUUCCGCAAUGGACGAAAGUCUGACGGAGCAACGCCGCGUGAGUGAUGAAGGUUUUCGGAUCGUAAAGCUCUGUUGUUAGGGAAGAACAAGUGCAAGAGUAACUGCUUGCACCUUGACGGUACCUAACCAGAAAGCCACGGCUAACUACGUGCCAGCAGCCGCGGUAAUACGUAGGUGGCAAGCGUUGUCCGGAAUUAUUGGGCGUAAAGGGCUCGCAGGCGGUUUCUUAAGUCUGAUGUGAAAGCCCCCGGCUCAACCGGGGAGGGUCAUUGGAAACUGGGAAACUUGAGUGCAGAAGAGGAGAGUGGAAUUCCACGUGUAGCGGUGAAAUGCGUAGAGAUGUGGAGGAACACCAGUGGCGAAGGCGACUCUCUGGUCUGUAACUGACGCUGAGGAGCGAAAGCGUGGGGAGCGAACAGGAUUAGAUACCCUGGUAGUCCACGCCGUAAACGAUGAGUGCUAAGUGUUAGGG
rnacentral:rRNA from 1 species